CCUACGGGAGGCAGCAGUGGGGAAUAUUGCACAAUGGGGGAAAGCCUGAUGCAGCGACGCCGCGUGAAGGAAGAAGGUUUUCGGAUCGUAAACUUCUAUCAGCAGGGAAGAAGAGAGUGACUGUACCUGACUAAGAAGCCCCGGCUAACUACGCGGCAGCAGCCGCGGUAAUACGUAGGGGGCAAGCGAUAUCCGGAAUCACUGGGCGUAAAGCGGACGUAGGCGGGUACUGAAGUCAGAGGGGAAAGCCCGGGGGUCAACCCCGGAACUGCCUUUGAAACUAGGUGACUAGAAUCCUGGAGAGGUGAGUGGAAUUCCGAGUGUAGAGGUGAAAUUCGUAGAUAUUCGGAAGAACACCAGUUGCGAAGGCGGCUCUCUGGACUGUAACUGACGCUGAGGCACGAAAGCGUGGGGAGCGAACAGGAUUAGAUACCCCUGUAGUC
rnacentral:rRNA from 1 species